GACGAACGCUAGCGAUAGGCCUAACACAUGCAAGUCGAGGGGCAGCACAUGAGUAGCAAUACGAUGGUGGCGACCGGCGCACGGGUGAGUAACACGUAUGCAACCUACCUUUAACAGGGGAAUAACCCGUUGAAAACGAACUAAUACUCCAUAACACAGGGGUCCCGCAUGGGAAUAUUUGUUAAAGAUUUAUCGGUUGAAGAUGGGCAUGCGUUCCAUUAGCUUGUUGGUGAUGUAACGGACCACCAAGGCGACGAUCGGUAGCCGAACUGAGAGGUUGAUCGGCCACAUUGGGACUGAGACACGGCCCAGACUCC
rnacentral:rRNA from 1 species